rnacentral:misc_RNA from 1 species
UGAUACUCUUCUUUGCUAAACUCUGCAACAUUUAGAAUAACACAGAUAAAAUGGGAGAAUGCGGUGGAAAAAGAUGGUAAUAAAACAAUUAAACUAAAUCUAGGAGGCACUCGAAAAAAUAAUGUAAUGCAGAAGCAAAAGUAUUGGUGAGUGUCUUAGUUGAGUGACCUUAAGAAUACCAAAGUCACUCUCAACAAUGCACAAGUAAAAGUUUUGGACUUUAAUUUAGUGGGAAAAAAAAUCAGAAAAACACAAACCUCCUGAUCCAAGCAAAGCAGUUG